UUAUUUUCUUGUGGGUGUCUU
rnacentral:siRNA from 1 species